rnacentral:rRNA from 1 species
GGCUCAGGAUGAACGCUAGCGACAGGCUUAACACAUGCAAGUCGAGGGGCAGCACGGGAGUAGCAAUACAACUGGUGGCGACCGGCGCACGGGUGAGUAACGCGUAUGCAACCUACCUAUCAGAGGGGAAUAACCCGGCGAAAGUCGGACUAAUACCGCAUAAAACAGGGGGCACCGCAUGGAGAUAUUUGUUAAAGAGAUUCGCUGAUAGAUGGGCAUGCGUUCCAUUAGGUAGUUGGUGAGGUAACGGCUCACCAAGCCGACGAUGGAUAGGGGAACUGAGAGGUUGGUCCCCCACACUGGUACUGAGACACGGACCAGACUCCUACGGGAGGCAGCAGUGAGGAAUAUUGGUCAAUGAGCGGGAGCCUGAACCAGCCAAGUCGCGUGAAGGAAAGAAGGAUCUAUGGUUCGUAAACUUCUUUUGCAGGGGAAUAAAGUGCAGGACGUGUCCUGUUUUGUAUGUACCCUGAGAAUAAGGAUCGGCUAGCUCCGUGCCAGCCGCAGC